rnacentral:rRNA from 1 species
CAAUAAGCGGAGGAAAAGAAACCAACAGGGAUUGCCCCAGUAACGGCGAGUGAAGCGGCAACAGCUCAGAUUUGGAAUCUGGCCUUCGGGCCCGAGUUGUAAUCUGGAGAGGAUGCUUCUGGCGCGGUGCCUUCCGAGUUCCCUGGAACGGGACGCCGGAGAGGGUGAGAGCCCCGUACGGUUGGACACCUAGCCUCUGUGAAGCUCCUUCGACGAGUCGAGUAGUUUGGGAAUGCUGCUCAAAAUGGGAGGUAAAUUUCUUCUAAAGCUAAAUAUUGGCCAGAGACCGAUAGCGCACAAGUAGAGUGAUCGAAAGAUGAAAAGCACUUUGAAAAGAGAGUUAAAAAGUACGUGAAAUUGUUGAAAGGGAAGCGCCUGUGGCCAGACUUGCGCCGCGCGGACCACCCAGCGUUCUCGCUGGUGCACUCCGCGUGGCGCAGGCCAGCAUCGGUUUUCCUAGGGGGAUAAAGGUCGCGGGAACGUAGCUCCUCCGGGAGUGUUAUAGCCCGUGGCGUCAUGCCCCUGGGGGGACCGAGG